UACGUAGGGGGCAAGCGUUACCCGGAAUUACUGGGUGUAAAGGGAGCGUAGACGGUAAUGUAAGUCUGGAGUGAAAGGCGGGGGCCCAACCCCCGGACUGCUCUGGAAACUAUGUUACUAGAGUGCAGGAGAGGUAAGCGGAAUUCCUAGUGUAGCGGUGAAAUGCGUAGAUAUUAGGAGGAACACCAGUGGCGAAGGCGGCUUACUGGACUGUAACUGACGUUGAGGCUCGAAAGCGUGGGGAGCAAACAGG
rnacentral:rRNA from 1 species